GCUCUCUUAGCUCAGUUGGUAGAGCGCCGUUCUUAUACGAAUAGUAUACAAAGAUGAGUAAUAUCAUCCUGAGAAAAGCGGAGGUCAGCAGUUCGAGCCUGCUAUUGAGCA
rnacentral:tRNA from 1 species